UCCUCCCUCUGGCGGCGUGCUUAACACAUGCAAGUCGAACGGAAAGGCCCUGCUUUUGUGGGGUGCUCGAGUGGCGAACGGGUGAGUAACACGUGAGUAACCUGCCCUUGACUUUGGGAUAACUUCAGGAAACUUGGGCUAAUACCGGAUAGGAGCUCCUGCUGCAUGGUGGGGGUUGGAAAGUUUCGGCGGUUGGGGAUGGACUCGCGGCUUAUCAGCUUGUUGGUGGGGUAGUGGCUUACCAAGGCUUUGACGGGUAGCCGGCCUGAGAGGGUGACCGGCCACAUUGGGACUGAGAUACGGCCCAGACUCCUACGGGAGGCAGCAGUGGGGAAUAUUGCACAAUGGGCGGAAGCAUGAUGCAGCAACGCCGCGUGCGGGAUGACGGCCUUCGGGUUGUAAACCUCUUUCGCCUGUGACGAAGCGUGAGUGACGGUAAUGGGUAAAGAAGCACCGGCUAACUACGUG
rnacentral:rRNA from 1 species